AAAUCUUGCAUGGCUUCUUAAUUUUUGUCGCGGUAUCAUUAACUUGCCCGUAGCAUGUAUAUAUAAUACAUGUCUCCUAACUAGAGUCUAAUUCUAAUUUAAUUUGUAAUUAGAUUCCGACUCAUAAUCCACAUAUGCUAAAUUAAAUCUAAAUUAUAUAUAAUCCCAAUUAGAUUAUGAUUUAACUCCAAUUUAGAUAACUACAAAUCUAAACCAAAUAUAACAAAAACAUUGUUCUCUGACAGCUUAAUCUUUAUGAGUGAUCAUCUGUUUACUCUAAUGGUUAUAUA
rnacentral:lncRNA from 1 species